GUCGUAACAAGGUUUCCGUAGGUGAACCUGCGGAAGGAUCAUUACCACACCAACCAAAGGGGGGCGAAGUUUCUUUUUGGGGAAAGGUGAGAGGGGAGGGAGCUUUCGUGGCUUCUUUCUCUUCCUCCUUCCUUUUAGAGGUUUCUCUCCCCCCCCUUUGAUUACCCACCCCUUUGUGAACUUGUGCUGUUUUAUCCCCAUAACUAAAACCUCUCCUUUUCUAUGUAUUCCCAAAGAGUUCCUCUCCUGGUCUUGACCGGGGAAGGGGUUUGAAGGAACAGAAAGGAGAGAACCCCCUUAUACACCACUUCAAACAAAACGACAACCAAGACUAUUACUGAAACCGAAAGUGUUACUGUUUUUUGACAAAGCAGUCUCUUACAACUGACAAAAACAAUAAACAACUUUCAGCGAUGGAUAUCUUGGCUCUC
rnacentral:misc_RNA from 1 species